rnacentral:rRNA from 1 species
UACCACGAGUGGCGAACGGGUGAGUAACACGUGGGUGAUCUGCCCUGCACUUCGGGAUAAGCCUGGGAAACUGGGUCUAAUACCGGAUAGGAGCCAUUUUUAGUGUGAUGGUUGGAAAGUUUUUUCGGUGUAGGAUGAGCUCGCGGCCUAUCAGCUUGUUGGUGGGGUAAUGGCCUACCAAGGCGGCGACGGGUAGCCGGCCUGAGAGGGUGGACGGCCACAUUGGGACUGAGAUACGGCCCAGACUCCUACGGGAGGCAGCAGUGGGGAAUAUUGCACAAUGGGCGCAAGCCUGAUGCAGCGACGCCGCGUGGGGGAUGACGGCCUUCGGGUUGUAAACUCCUUUCGCUAGGGACGAAGCUUUUUGUGACGGUACCUAGAUAAGAAGCACCGGCUAACUACGUGCCAGCAGCCGCGGUAAUACGUAGGGUGCGAGCGUUGUCCGGAAUUACUGGGCGUAAAGGGCUCGUAGGUGGUUUGUCGCGUCGUCUGUGAAAUUCCGGGGCUUAACUCCGGGCGUGCAGGCGAUACGGGCAUAACUUGAGUACUGUAGGGGUAACUGGAAUUCCUGGUGUAGCGGUGAAAUGCGCAGAUAUCAGGAGGAACACCGAUGGCGAAGGCAGGUUACUGGGCAGUUACUGACGCUGAGGAGCGAAAGCAUGGGUAGCGAACAGGAUUAGAUACCCUGGUAGUCCAUGCCGUAAACGGUGGGCGCUAGGUGUGAGGGUCUUUUCACGACUUUCGUGCCGUAGCUAACGCAUUAAGCGCCCCGCCUGGG